AACGUCACGUGAUGUGCCCCGCCCCCUUAGCGUGCGCCCUGCAGCGUGGACGCGCGAGCGCACGUGCGAGUCACGUCGACGAUUAAACAAACGGAGGGGAAAAAAGAAGAGAGAAGUUUUCACGUUUCGGGGGGUGUUUGCGAACGCAAGACGACGGUUCGGGUGGCGACCGGAUGCAAAGCAGCAGCGGAGCGGCAUCGGCAUAUUUGAUGGGUUUUCGCCAUCUUCAAGUGGAACGGCCGCUCACUCGCUUGCUGCCUCCUGUCGGACAUGGCGGGGCACUGCCUCACUUGCCCCGAACGCAAAGAUCACCACUGAACGCUCCUCUCAAGAGGCGCAAAAGCGCCGCCGCACACACUCGACAUGGGGGGCCCCUGUCGAAACCUGUUAUGCGAGGAAGGAAACUGAUGUGGUCUGGUUGCCGUGGAAAACCAGGGCCGAGAUUGUCAAAGUCUUUGAUGGACGCAUUGUCGGCGGGGAGAAUACGUCGCCCGAUGUGGCCCCCGGCGCGGUUCGCUCGCCCCGGCGGGGGCCCGCGUGAUCCUCGGUGGGGACGACGGCCGAUCGCGGCGCUAAUCUCGUUAGGGAUUUUCCAAAAAAGUGCUGCGUCCGCGCCGACGUGCCUUUGUGCGCCCAAACGUUUUGUGGGCCCCCGCGGUGAUGUCAUUCCACUGUCAGCAAGUGAGGUGGGCGGGGGCCCCGGCCGCCGAGGCGAACGCUUUAACCCGGUGACCCCCUCCAAAGCGGACCCUGUGUGGCACUCUGCAGCCGGGGGGGGGGGAGAAAUUGGAUAUUUGCAGGCCAAAAAGAAACAAGUUGAAAAAUGAAUAUUUCUAACCAUAAAUACCUUCAAUUGGCAGUCAGAUUCUGGAGAUUUGUAAUCAUUUUCUAUAUAUAUUAUUAUGACAAGUUAAAUAGUUUGAAGUAUUCCCGUGGUCAUUGCAGUUUUUAUAGUUUGCCAAUAUUCAAUUGAUAUUUAAAGAAUGACCCCAAAACGAUCUUAAAAAAUGUUUUUUUUUUUUUUUUUUUUUUCAACAAGUACAUUUUACCUGAGGGUGCAAAUUCAGAUAUUUAAAACGCUAAUGCAAAUGUCUUUUUUUGUAAUCACAAAUACAUGUAUCAUUUUUAUGGAGUUAAAUAUAUUUAUAUUUCAUUUUAAAAGUCAACUAUUCCCAUGCCGUCAUUUACCAUUUCGAAACAUUUUCAUAAGUCUGCCGAUAUUGGAAAAAAAUAAUGUAAAUAAACUAUAUGUAUAUAAUCAGAUAAAAAUGUAGUAUAAAUCAAAUAAAACUACUAAAAUCAUAGAAAAAAAGUGUUAUUAAAAUAAAUUCAGGACGGAAAGCCGAGUGGCAGUUUUUUUUUUUUUAAAUAACCAUAAAUAUCCUCAACCUGUGCACAUUUUAUUAAAUAUAUAUUUUAUACAAUGUAAUGUAUUGUCUGACACUUAUUUUUGGAAAAAUUCAAUGUGUUACGUGAUCUAAGCCUUUUCAUUUUUUAAAAUUCAACAUAUUUUCAACCCCCCAAAAAAUUGAAAAUGCAAUAUAAUUAAUUAAUUACAGCACCUUUUCUAUCUUGAGGGCCGGACCAAAGCCAUUGACCCCCCCCCCCCCCCCCAGCCCGCGUUCAGGAGUGAAAGCCGAGCGCGGCAGCAAAUCUGAUAUUUAUAACCAUAAAUAGCUUGAAUGUGCACAUCGGAGCCCCCCCCAUUUAUACGCGCGUACAUAUCUCUAAAUAAAAAGGUCCGCGCGGGCCGUUUGCCGGUGUUGAAUGACGAGCGUCGCCGGGGAAGCGCAGCUGCCCGCGUUUGGACCGCUUCCUGGAAGCGCUAAAUUUAACGCCGCCGGAACGCGGCGCUGGGGCACGUGUGACGCCCGCCCGCUACGCAACUUCGUCAGCGCUCUAACGUGGCCCAUCACAACGGUAUCGAUCGAUAGAGAUACAAAUGGUAUUAAUAUUUGGACGGAUCUACCCGCGUGUACACUGUAUACAGCGCGGGUAUUUACGGACACGCCACAAACCGUUCGGGUAUCGGCGGCGUAAAGUGGCACCGGACCCGUCCGGAAAUUCACAAUUCCUUUCAAAGUAAAACCCAAAAAGUAAGUCAUGAAGUUUAUUUGCGUAAACAGGCCAGUGGGUCACUCGGGUUUCAUUUCAUAUUCAUGAGGGCGAGUUGGCGAGGGGAUGCCAGUUUGAGCCGUGUAAGCGCCCGAUGGCGAAAUUUCCCAGGGUGCAAAGCGGCGGGGGUCACGUCCGGCCCCCACAUGGGGGCGAAAAUGUCAACGCUGUCUCAUUAACAGUCAUUUCAUCCUAUUGCAUCUUUGGUUUUGCCGCUGCUGAAAUAUUUUACAGUAAAUUAUUAAAUUACAUAGAGUACAUAAAGCAUCUAUAAUUUUACAUUAUAUAUUUUUUAACUUUUGAUUGUCGCCACGAAAAAGGGAAAACUUUGUAUUUAUAUGUGCACAUUGUAAAUACAAUUAUUUUUAUUAUUUUAUUUUGAGAAGGCUUUUGGGGGGGGAAGGGCUCAAUAUUUUCUACAUAUUCUUUUAUAUUUUGAUUGAAUUUGGAUUAUUUCUCAUUUUUAUUUAAAAAAAAGAAACUACUGCUGUUCAUAAAACCUGUAAAAAUGAGAUUUGUCCAAAUAUAUGUAAGGUAUACAUUUAAUAAAAUGAGAAAAUAAUGGCUUUAUUUUCA